GUUGCAGCAAUGCCGCUGAUAACUUUGCAACUGCUGAUGUGAAAACACAUUUGAAUCGCUACUUGUUGAUUGCUACGAGUGGAGGCUUAAACCAACAAAGAAGAGGGCUUAUAUCUUGAAUGCUACUCUUGUUGUUCUCAAGCUCGACCAGAAAUCGUUUUGGAAGGAUUCCAGCAACUUCGAUGCAAUCUUUGAUGUGGACUGGUUUAUAU